UACAGAGGUGGCAAGCGUUGUUCGGAAUUAUUGGGCGUAAAGAGCUUGUAGGCGGUCUGUCGCGUCUGCUGUGAAAAUCCGGGGCUCAACCCCGGACUUGCAGUGGGUACGGGCAGACUAGAGUGUGGUAGGGGAGACUGGAAUUCCUGGUGUAGCGGUGAAAUGCGCAGAUAUCAGGAGGAACACCGAUGGCGAAGGCAGGUCUCUGGGCCACUACUGGCGCUGAGAAGCGAAAGCAUGGGGAGCGAACAGG
rnacentral:rRNA from 1 species